rnacentral:rRNA from 1 species
CUCGGUGACCAUAGUGCUGGGGUCACACCCGUUCCCAUCCCGAACACGGCCGUUAAGCCCAGCAUGCCGAUGAUACUGCCACCGCGGGAAAGUAGGUCAUCGCCGAGU